GACAGAGGUGCCAAGCGUUAGGCGGAAUCACUGGGCUUAAAGCGUGUGUAGGUGGAUUGGUAAGUACCUUGUGAAAUCCCACGGCUUAACCGUGGAACUGCUUGGUAUACUGCCUGUCUUGAGCCAACUAGGGGCUAUCGGAACAAAUGGUGGAGCGGUGAAAUGCGUAGAUAUUGGAAGGAACACCAGUGGCGAAGGCGACUAUCUGGGCAAAUACUGACACUGAGACACGAAAGCAUGGGGAGCAAACAGG
rnacentral:rRNA from 1 species